CCUACGGGAGGCAGCAGUGGGGAAUUUUGGACAAUGGACGCAAGUCUGAUCCAGCCAUGCCGCGUGUGGGAAGAAGGCCUUCGGGUUGUAAACCACUUUUGUCAGGGAAGAAACGGCUCGGGUUAAUACCUUGGGCUAAUGACGGUACCUGAAGAAUAAGCACCGGCUAACUACGUGCCAGCAGCCGCGGUAAUACGUAGGGUGCAAGCGUUAAUCGGAAUUACUGGGCGUAAAGCGUGCGCAGGCGGUUAUGCAAGACAGAUGUGAAAUCCCCGGGCUCAACCUGGGAACUGCAUUUGUGACUGCAUGGCUAGAGUACGGUAGAGGGGGAUGGAAUUCCGCGUGUAGCAGUGAAAUGCGUAGAUAUGCGGAGGAACACCGAUGGCGAAGGCAAUCCCCUGGACCUGUACUGACGCUCAUGCACGAAAGCGUGGGGAGCAAACAGGAUUAGAUACCCUGGUAGUCCACGCCCUAAACGAUGUCAACUGGUUGUUGGGAGGGUUUCUUCUCAGUAACGUAGCUAACGCGUGAAGUUGACCGCCUGGGGAGUACGGCCGCAAGGUUGAAACUCAAANAGAGUAGACGCGUGAGACGUAGCGACGGACGACGACGAGGGAGGAGG
rnacentral:rRNA from 1 species